rnacentral:rRNA from 1 species
CCCGGCGACCGGCGCACGGGUGAGUAACGCGUAUGCAACCUGCCCGUUUCAGCGGGAUAACCCGGAGAAAUCCGGCCUAAUACCGCAUGUGGCCGAGGGGAGGGCAUCUUCUUUCGGCCAAAGGAGGCGACUCCGGAGACGGAUGGGCAUGCGUGACAUUAGCUAGUUGGCGGGGUAACGGCCCACCAAGGCGACGAUGUCUAGGGGUUCUGAGAGGAAGGUCCCCCACACUGGUACUGAGACACGGACCAGACUCCUACGGAAGGCAGCAG